rnacentral:lncRNA from 12 species
CUUUCCUUUGUUUUGCAGAGAGAGUGACUCAAGAAGAAAAGGAGGUGGUCAAGGGUCAAUUGGACAGGAAGGAACUUCUUUCAGCCUGAACCGGCUCUUCCAAGAUCUGAAUGUCAGCUAACUGUAUUAUGCCAGCUAAUUAAGACACAGACAGAAUGAAGAUCCUGCUGAACACAGUGGGAUCCCAUCACAGGAUUCAG